GCCAUGACAGGUUGGUCCUAAAAGGAACGAGGCAACUUGCCGGUUCUGUAACCGGAAAAAACGAGGCAGGGACAGCUGACCUGGGCGCCGCCAUGACAGCCUGCACCGGAAAAGGCGGGGCUCUUCUCCCUGACUGAUUUCCCUCCGGCACCGGCCUCGAGAUCCCAUUAUGUUCCACAGGCAGGCGGCCCUGGAGGUCACUGCUCGCUACUGUGGUCGGGAGCUGGAGCAAUAUGGCCAGUGUGUGGCGGCCAAGCCUGAGUCAUGGCAGCGGGACUGCCACCACCUUAAGAUGAGUAUCGCUCAAUGCACAUCCUCCCACCCAAUCAUCCGGCAGAUCCGCCAGGCCUGUGCUGAGCCUUUUGAGGCCUUUGAGGAGUGUCUUCGACAGAAUGAGGCAGCAGUGGGCAACUGUGCAGAGCACGUGCGCCGCUUCCUGCAGUGUGCUGACCAGGUGCAGCCACCACGCUCACCCUCGAAUGUGGAGGAGAAGCCACUGAGAAUAACACCAGGACUGUGGAGGAGCAGUGCACGGUGCUGGUGAGGAAAAGGGGGAAACGCAGACCAGAAAAUGAAGACCAGAACAACCCCAAGCAUCUGUACCCAGCAGAGCACAAGUCCCAUGGAACCAGGCCCAGGCAAACGUUAAGAAUUCUCUAAACUGCCUGCAGUCUUGAGGACACCCUUCUUUUCUUCUAUGUGGUGGUGAAACUGAAAAUCCUAAUUAUUCCAUGAUCAGUGCUUUUGUCAAGAGGAUACUGAGCUUGAUGUCAUCACAUCGGACUGACACCAGGAAUUAGUGCGAUGUGGGCUUGCUGAGCCGCGCGUCAAAGCAGAUUUUACGUAAUGAAGUAAAAGCGAUCAAGUAAAAAAAAAUCUCAUUAAAUGCUUCUGUGAAUUUUGAGGAAA